CACAGGUUACGUCUUUACAAUCGGAGGUUGUGCAAUUAGUUGGAAAGCCACUUUGCAAACUACAGUCGCUUUGUCUACCACUGAAGCUGAGUACAUGGCGAUUACUGAGGCUUGUAAAGAAGCUAUUUGGUUGAAGGGUCUAUUUAGUGAACUCAAUGAAGACCUUCAAAUCAGCACAGUAUUUUGUGACAGUCAAAGUGUCAUCUUUCUUACAAAAUAUCAAAUGUUUCAUGAGAGAACAAAACACAUUGAUAUUCGGUAUCAUUUUGUUCGUGAUAUUAUUGCUCGUAGUGAUAUUGUUGUGAGCAAAAUUAGUACUCAUGAAAAUCCUGCAGAUAUAAUGACUAAGUCACUUCCUAUAACCAAGUUUGAGCAUUGCUUACACUUAGUUGAUGUUCAUUGUUGAAGUUAAACCCUUAAGGGGUUUUAUGGAAGAGGUGGAGAACUUGUUUAUUGAAAGUUCGCGAUGAAGAACUUGUUCAUUGAGAAUUUGUGUCAAGGUGGAGAUUAUUAGAAUUAAGUGACCCAAAUUCUUAUUUAAAUAAAAUACGAUGGAAAAUAAAAUAAAAGUAAAAUCCAUAUAGAACUAGACUUCUCUUAUUUUAUUUUAGAAUAAGGUUUUUAAACCUUAUUAAACUCCAUCUAUUUUAUAUUGAUUUGGAUAAGGUGUUUCAAUCCUACUAGAAUAUGGCUUUGCAAGCCUAUAAAUAGACAUAGUCUAUUCCUCUUAUAUUUGAUUCAAAUUUUUUGACAUAGUGAAUUUUCUUCUCCUCUGCCCGUGGUUUUUUCCCGAAAGGGUUUCCACGUAAAAUUUGUGUUUUCUUUAUUUUAUUUAUUUUAUUUUAUUUUAUUUUUCAACAAUGUACUUUAGUUUACCUUUAAUGAAAUGAAUUUGAAUUAUAAUAAUCGUCAAACGACUUUUCUUAUUCCUGUGUGCAGGUCUUGGACGAGGAUUUUCGUAAGUUGAAAGUGUCAAAGCAUCCAUUUUCAACAACAUGUACCUAGGUUGUUUUGUUCAUGUUGUUUAAAUGGUCAUUUUCAUAUAUUUAUAUUUCACCUAUGAAGUUUUUUAAAUUGAAUUUUAGUCUUUAAUUAGUAGAUAAUGAUACUAGUUUAUAUAAGUUUGAUUAUGAGAAAUAGAUAGUAAAAUGUUGAUGCAUUGGUGGUUAUGAUUUGAUUAUGUUUGGUUGUGUUUAGAUAUGUUAGAUUGAUGGUGUAACUUUGAUGUAAAGUUUAGAUACACUUGAGGUGCCAUUUGGUUUAGUUUGGACCUUUGAAAAUGUGCAUUUAGGGCCAUUUUACCAUUGUGUCUUGAGAUAAUAUGAUCAUGUCUCGAGAGACCUACAUGCUUAGUGUCUCGAGACAAUCCUAUUUAAGUCUCGAGGCAAAUGGCCUUUGUCUUGAGACAAGUAAACUUUGAAGUUAAAUUAGUUUUGCCCUACUUUAGGUCUCAAGACAAGAACCCCUUGUCUCAAGACAUCCAAACAUCGAAGCUAAAACAAGAAAACAUAGAAGGUUGGUCUUAAGACUUAAGGGACCUUGCCUCAAGACAUCACAUCUAGUGUCUCAAGACAUGUUGACAUUGAAACAAAAAAUACCUAAAAUAAAUUGAGGCCUAUCUCGAGAUAAGAAGUCCUUUGUCUUGAGACACAACAUUGAAAGUUGAUUGUUGAGUUUCAUUUCAAGUCCUAACUCUAAAAUUUAACCUAGCACAACCUCGUAACAUGAUCAAUUUGAAUUCUAAACCUUAUGAAUGCAUAUGUGUGAGCACGAUUAAUGACUAAAUUGGUUUGAAUGAUAAUUGUGAUUUAAAUUUUGUGAUUACGUAAUGCGAUAGCUUGACUUGCUUCGUUAACGUAAUAUGAUAUCAUGCAUUCGAAGCCAACGAUUGGGUUGGGUGUAAGGUGUUACACUUUAGAAGAAGUUUGAGUUCAUGCUCUUGGGAGGAUUGCAUCAUUGACAAAGUUUGAAAUUUUAAAGUGAGGAUUUUUAUUUAUUAUUUGUAUUUUGGCAUGUAAGUAAAGGCUUAGGCUAUUUUAAGUAUUUGUGAGUAUCUUGUGUAAUCUUAUGCAUUUUGAAACUAUUUAGUUAUUUUAAAGUUAGUUUUUUACUCUUGAAUUGGUUUGAACAUGUGUAUGACUUCAAAUUUUGUUUGAAUGGACCUUAGAAAUGUUUUGGAAUUAUUUGGAACUUGAUGGAAUCGUAUGAUGAUGUUUGGGGAUGAUUUUGUGUAUUUUUUAAUUAAUUUUUAUGCUUCAAGAGUCUAGGUAUCGAAACAUGGCUUGUUUACAUCAAUAUAACCAAGUUAGUAGUUAAAAUGUUGCAAUACAAGGCAAAGGUACCAAUAGAUAGUGUAAAAUUAAACGUUGAUAAUGAUGAUGAAUCGCAAAGAAAGAGAUAAAAAUAGAACACACAGAAUUUUAUAUGGAAACCCUUUCGGAAAAAAAUCACGAGCAGAGGAGAAGAAAAUAUACUAUGUCGAAUUCAAAUGAUACAAGAGGAGAGACGAUUACGUCUAUUUAUAGGUUUAAAAAACCUUAUUCUAAUCAAAGGGAAAUAGAAGUAAAGCAGUAAGGUUAAAAUACCUUAUUUUAGUCAACAUCAAAUAGAGUAAGUAUACUUUUUCUAUUCUCAAAAAUAUCCAAGGCUUCACACCAUGAAUUUGUUAGAUACCUAUUCAAUUAAUGGUAGAAGAAGACAAUAAGUUUUGGAGGGGCUUAAUUAAAUUUUUAAAAAGUUUGGAGGCUUAACAAGAAUUCUCAAAAUUAUAGAGAUUUUAAUUAAAAACUUCAAAAAAAUUAAUGAGAAAUUUCCAAAAUUUCAUAAGCAAGAUCCCCAUCUCCCAUUAGGUUUGGCUACUGUGAAUUUGAAAUUCCUUUAGGAUUUCAGUUUUAGAAAUAAAUUGAAUUCAACGAUUUCUUUUUAAUUUUGUCGGAAAGGAAGUAAAACCAAUUACGAAAUGCAUCAUUCAAUCUCUUGUUGUGAGAAGAAACUGAAUGACGUGGACUUUAAGUUUGAUACGUAUGUUGGUUAAAAUAAAUGAUUAGAAGAUUCUUGUGAAAAUAAAACUUGUACUCAAGACUUCCACACCAAACUGAUUGAUUUGAUUCAGUGAUGUUAACUCUGUAACGAUCCACUUUUCAGCUACAUACCAUACCAUAACAACUUCAUCCUUAGAUUCAAUCAUAAAUUCAUUUCUUGGGGUAAAUCAAUUGUACCAGAGUUAUCUGAAAAUGGAUAUUGAAAUUCACACGCCUCCUCUGCUUAACAAUGAAAUUAAACCUAAUCAAGCAUUCCAACCUAUAACAAUGGAGGCUGAAUUUACUGGUAGGUAGACUUCAUGACGGUCGUUAUUGCUAGAUGGGUCCUCUCUGGGUUAUACAUUAGCCUUUUCUAUCGUAUGAAUUAAUUAGCCAGUCAAAAUCCCUCUUGCUAUUGCUAGAUGGGUGAAGGUAAGCCAUUCUCUUCAUCAAGAAUACAAUUGGUUAACUUUCUAGAAAUUCUUCUAGAAAUUCUUCUAGAAAUUCUAUCACGUAUAUAUACACAUAUGAAAAUUAAAUAUGUAUUUAAAAAUAGCAUAUUAAAAAUAUUAAAAUACAUGACAUGAAACUAAUUAAUCAUAAUAAUAAAUAAAAAUAUUUACGAUAAAAUAAAAAAAUUAAAUUAAAUUAUAAAUAAAACAUAUAAAUAUAUUAUAUUAACAAUACAAAUACACUAUAAUACAUCUAAUUAACUAUGAGCAAAGAUAACGAAACCAAAAACAGUUAAGUUUACGCUAAUGAACAUGACAAGCUCAAAUAUUAAAAUAGAAAUACAAACAAUUUUCACCACUAAUUAUUACUUAGUUCGAAGUUUGAAUAAAUGAACAAAGAUUAGAGUAAAUCUAAAAUAUUUGAAGGAAAAUAUAGUCUAAAAGAGAAUAAAAUAAAAUAAUGUUGAACUAUUUACUAUUAAGUGAAAAGUAUGUCUCUAUUUAUUUAUCAUUUUUCAUAUUUUUUUUUUUGGAAAAAAUUCUAUCAAUUAGUUUUCUUGAAUAGUUAUUAAACAUAUUUUGAAAAAAAUAAAGCUAUUUAAUAGUUUAUCAAAUAGGGUUUUAGAGGGGAGUUAUCUAGAUCUUAGAAGAAAGAGUGAUAUUCUAAUAUGAUGAGCGUUAAUGUUUGUAUAAUGCGCUAAAUAAUAGAUUAUAUUUCAAGAAAAGGCGUAGCAAAAAUAAGAAAUUCGAAAUAGGCAAACAUAUAAUUGUGUUCAUUAUUUUUAUGUUUGGUUCAUCACCCAUGCUUGAGGCAAUUAACACUGCUGCAAAUAUAGAAGUUUGACAGAACAAAAAUGAUAUUCCAAUGACUCUGGUGCGUAGAGGACAUGAUGUAAGAUAUAGAGUUUUCCAUGUAAUCCCAAGAGAUUUGUUAAGAUGUGAAUAGCUUGUAUCAACUUCAUUGAAUAUAUUGAGAAUUUAGAAUAUGAGUCAAACUUGAUGGUGAUGAAAACAUGUACCAAGCCUUGUUCAUAAAGCAUUCCAAACAUCCAUAGCUCUUUAAGCCUUGUUUUUAAAUGGGAUUUAAGCAUUUGGGGCUAGGCCUUUCUCUGAGCAUAAUAGACGACAAGCCUUCAACUUUCACGUCUAGGCAGCCUCAUAUUCUUGAAAUGAGACCCCAAUCCAUGUUUUAAAAUCUAAAUACUAAGCCCAGGGAUGACUUCAAAUAUUUUAAUAAUGAUUAUUGAUUUUCUAAUAUGUAUCACCAACGUUCCUUUUGCUUUUAUAAAUCUUAAUAUUGGAAUUCAUUUUUCACUUGGAUUUUCAGAUUUUUUAUUUAGGGAAUUCAGAUAUUAUUAUUUAAAUUCAAAUUUAAAUUUACAAAUAUCCUCCCUAUUAUAUAUCCUGUCAUUUAAUGGACAAUUUAGAAAUAUAUAUAAUAAUCUUUUCAGUAGUUUAUAAAAAAGACUCUUUUGCACGCACGAUAAGAACAAAGAAAACAGGAAUGUUUUGUUCCCUAUCCAAAAAUCAGAACAUUAAAUCCUAAUUUUUUACCAAUUCCAUAUUUUUUGUAGAAACAUAAAUAGGAGAAACUCAAUGUGAUCUAGAAUGAUCUACUUUUGUGGAGAAAAAGAGUGAGGAAGAAUAUACAUAAUGAUCAGGUGUAUGGAAGAAAGUUACAUUCUGGAUAUUUGACCGGCGGCGGAUGGUGGAUUGCGACGAUAGUCACGGUGGUUAACUUGCAGAAACUGAUUUCUUUUUCUCUCUAAUUUCUGGGUAUUGUAGGGACAUGAGAACCAAUGGGCAAAAAGAUUAUGAGAAAUUGAGGGGGAGAGGUUUUCGAGAGAAAAGUAAAAAUGAAAUGGUUUAAAAUUUUAAAUAUGAAUAUUAAUUUAACAAUAAUUAUCGAAUAUAUUAAUUUACAAAAAUUAAAUAAGUUUGAAUGUAAUUAAUAAUUAUAUAUUCCAACUCUCAUAAAAUAAUUAUAUUUUUUAUUUUCUUCUGUAGAUUAUAUUUUUAUUUAUAUCAUUACAAUUCUUUAAAAAAUAGUAUUAAAAUUAUAUACAUUUAUUACUAAAUUAUAUCAUAUCACCAUUCCUAUCAGUUUAAUUAUUCUUUAUCUAUCACAUUCAAUCAAAUAUGUAUUUAUUACAUUCAGACACUUGGGCAAAAAGAUUACUUGACCAGAAAUAUUUAUUCAUAAAAUACCGCUACAAGCCUACACAAACAGUGUUCGUAGACAGUACAAAAUACAACAGUAAUUGUAGGAAUCAUCCCCUACCAUUUUUUCCUUCUUUUUUUCCUUUUUUUUUUUUUUGUUAAUAACAGCAAUAUUUAGAUGCCUAAUAAUUUAGUUUUGGAACUUCCAAGUUAUAACUUACUCAUCCUGACGGGUCCCAACUCUUUUGCCUUCGCUCUUAGCACAUGCUUCUGAAUCUUACCUGUGGCCGUCUUUGGCAGUGGACCAAAUAUCACUGAUUUUGGAACCCAGUAUGCAGGCAUCUUGGACCUGCAGAACUUCAUUAUGUCUUCAGCUAACCGUUGUUCAUCGGAUUUGUCCACCCCAGGCUUCAAGGUCACGAAAGCACAAGGUGACUCUCCCCACCGCUCGUCCGCCCUUGCCACCACCGAUGCCUCCAUUACUGCAGGGUGCAAAUAGAGACUGUUUUCCACUUCCACGCUGCUGAUGUUUUCGCCUCCCGAUAUGAUUAUGUCCUUCGACCUAUCUUUUAUUUCAAUGUAUCCAUCUGGAUUUUUCACACCCAGAUCCCCGGAGUGAAACCAGCCAUUUGCGAAUGUUUCCUCAUUUGCUUUCGGGUUCUUUAAGUAGCCUUUCAUCACAAUGUUACCGCGAAACACUAUUUCUCCAAUGGUUUUUCCAUCAGCAGGUACGGGCUGACCAGUUUGAGUACUAAUGACAUCUAGGCACUCUAAACCAACGUAUCGGACACCUUGACGUGCAUUUAGACGAGCUUGAGUUUCAGGUGGUAGGGAGUCCCAUUCAGGCUUCCAUGCACACACUGUAGAAGGACCAUAGGUUUCGGAGAGACCGUAAGUGUGGGUGACUCGGAAACCUUUCUGGGACAUUCCAGCAAGGACAGAAGGAGGUGGGGCUGCACCAGCUGUCAUUACACGAACAACAUGGGGGAGGGGCAGAAUGGUUUCCUCAGGCGGGGCAUUAACUAUGGAAUUGAGAACCACAGGUGCAGCACAGAAGUGAGUCACCCUGUACUUCGCGAUGGCCGAGUAUACGCCCUUCGCUGUUACCUGCAGAUACGAAAGAAACAAAUAGGGGCAUCAGUAAGCUUAAGCUAUGAUCAUAGAUAAAGCGCACAACUUUCGCAUCCACAUUGUUUAUAAUGGACUAAAGACUUCUCAAAGUCUGAAUCUCUGAACUGAAAUUAUGACAUACAUAAAAAUAGAACAAUGAAUCCAACACUUUAGAAUUUCUACAAAAUCACACCAAGAAACAAUAAGCUAUUAUUUAGACAAGAAAUUACCUGUCGGAGGCAUAUGUUAGUUCCACAAACAGCUGCAAGUGUCCAAGGAAAACACCAACCAUUACAAUGGAACAUGGGCAGAGUCCAUAAAUAUACAGCUCCUUCAUUCAUUUCCCAUAUAAUAGGAUUACUCAAAGCCAUUAGAUAUGCCCCUCGGUGAUGUAAUACCACCCCUUUUGGGCUGGCUGUCGUGCCGGAAGUAUAGCCCAAAGCAAUGCUUUGCCACUCAUCUUGAGGAGGCUUCCAAGCAAAGUCAGGGUCACCACUUUCUAAGAACUUCUCAUACUCAAUGGCUCCUUGCCCCAAAGCAUACUUAAGUGUUUCCGGGUUGCAGCUUUCGUCAGCAAUGACAAUAACAAGCGGAGGUGUGAAAUUGCCUUGGCUUUUCUCCUUCAUGAUUCUCAAAGCAUCCUCUGCCAAAUUGAAAAACUCUUGGUCCACAAUGACGACGGUGGAUUGUGAAUGACCCAAAAGGAAAGCAAUGGUUGAUGCAUUUAGGCGAAUAUUGAUGGUGUUUACAACAGCACCAGACAUUGGAAUCCCAAAAUGAGCUUCAUACAAAGCAGGAAUGUUUGGUGCAAUUAUGGCUACCUGCCAAUUUUUAAAAAAAAAAAUGAAUACAAGCAAUAGAACCAUUUAAGUUGCAUAAAAGACAGUCAUUAUAUAAAGAAUCCAUCCACAAUUCUCUGGAGCAGAAAUUAAUAUGCUUUCAAUCUAGUAAAUGAUACUCAGAUUUCUCAACUAUGUAUAAACAUAUAAGAAGUCAGUACGUAACUAAUCCACCAAAAAGAAAACCUUAAAAUUCCAGAUUCAAUAGAUUAACACAACUGGCAAUCCCCAUAUCAAAUUUGGGCCACGCAUCAAGCAUUAAAAGCAGUAAACCUUCUAUCUUUUUUUUUUCCAAAUUAAAAACUUCCAUCUUAUUCCACUAAUAAUACCAUAAUAACAAGUAAUGGAACAACAGCAUGGGACCAACGAGACCGGCUAAUACUAAACACGAUUCCAUGAAAACAUUAUGACAUACAUGACAUGAUACAAAUGUACCAAAUGUUUCAAAAAUCAUUAUAAUACAAAUUAUUAAUAUAUUAAAUUUUAUAUAAUAUAAUAAUAUCUUAAACAUUCACAGCAUAGAUAUAAACGUCAGAAGAUACAAAUAUACAAAAUGUCUCAAAAUCUAUACAAAUCCGAAUUAUUAUUAAUAAUAUAAAAUAUCUUACUCUGCAAAUCACACCGAUAAAUACAUGAAUUACCAGAUUUAGACCAACUCCACUCCACUAUACAAAAUCUAUGAGUAUAGUUAUACUACUAAAGCUUACUAAUAAAAUCUAAAAACUUUAAAUUUGACAAGGAAAAAGGAAAAGAAUUCUUCCUUUUUUUGUCUUUUUCUUUUUUUAAAGUUUGUUCUCUUUAUUCAACUCAGCAAGCAAAAAAACGUUAAAAACUGACAGAUUUCACUUUAUCCGAAUUUUUUCUAUCGUUAUCGUUAAUAAUGAUGAUAGGCGAUGGAAAAAAAUUUGAUUACCGAGCUACCAACGCCGAUGGAGCUUUUGGAAAGAGCUGAAGCCAAGCGACGGCAACGCUGGUAAGUUUGGAGCCACGUGUACGUUCGAGAUCCAUGGAUCACCGCUUUUCUGGUGGGAUGAACCGUGGCGGCUCGUUCCAAGAACCACAACGGCGUCAAAGCCAUGUAGUUAACGGCGUUCUUUGGAAGGUCGUCGAUGUCUCGCAUCUCCAUCACCGUCGAUACUCCCUCUCCGUCUCCUUCCUGUUUAUCCAAAAAUGAAAGAAAAAAUUCAAUGCUGAGGUUUUGAAGCUGAAAAAGUGAAUCAUUCGUAGUCAGAAUUUAUAGUAGGAAUUGUACGAAACCGCCACGUAGAUUUUCUGUUUAAAUAUAUUGGCGAAAUUUUUAUAUUUAAAAAAUGAAAAAAAUAAUUAUUGACAUUAACAUCACUAGUACUUUCUAUAAAAAUUCAUUUAUUUAAAGGUAUAUUUAUUGAGUUUAUUAUUUGAGUUAAGAAUUCGUAUGGAUAUAUUAAAGAUUUUUAAAUGGUAAGACUAUUGCUUUAAUUUUUUUAAUGUAAGAUUAAAUUUCAAACUACAAGGAUUGAGGAUAAAAUUUUACCUUUCUUUUUAAUUUUUUUAUAAGGUAAAUUUAAAGAAUUUUAUCUCAUAUAAAAAGAAAGAAUGUGAAUUAUCAAAAUAAUAUAUUUUCAAUUUUUUUAGUGUAAAACAAAUAUUUUUUUUCCUUGUUUUUACAUAUACACUGUAUCUAUGGGUUUAUAAUUUUAGAAAAGAAAGUUCCUACUCUAAGGGAUCAGAAAUGGAAAUAUUUGAUGUUUAUCCCAAACCGUCAUUAAAUUUGAUAUACAUUGAUGGUAAUAAAUUUUACCAUUUAUGUCAAUACAUUUUCUAUAUUUUAAUGCUUUACUAAACGAUUUUUAAUGUAAAAGUGUAAUUAUAUUCCCGUAAUUAUAAAUAAUUGUAAUUUUUUAAAUGUGUUUAACUGAUAGAGUAUAAUUUAUAUCGUAAUUUCAUAUGUCAUAUUUGAUGAUACAAAUUAUAAUUACACAGUUAUAUAAUUUAUAUUUUAAAAAAUAUUAAUUACUAUAAAAAUAUUAGUAUGAACAUGUAAUCAAAAUUAAAAUCAAAUCACCAUAUAUAUUAUGUUAGUAUAAAAAGAGGAAAUGAUAAUAGGGGUGAGCAAAACUCAAUUUGAAAAAAUAAAAUAAAAAUCGAAUUUUUAAUUAACCGAAUCAAAUUGUUUGAAUUAUUCGAGUCAACUCAAAUAAAUAUUUCCAGUUUUGAAUUCGAGUCGAGUUCAAUUUUACAAUUCGAAUAAUAGAUUGAUGUAUAAAUACCCUUUUGGUCACUAUCAAUUUUGAAAAUGAGUAAAUUAGUCUCUCUCUGAACAAAAAUUACAAAAUAAUUUAAAAUAAUUUUUAAAUUUCAAAAUAUUUAUAAAAAUUCUAAAAUAUAUCUAAAGAAUAUAUAAAGAAAGUUAAAAUUUUUAAAAAUUUCUAAAAUAAUAAUUUUAGGGACCUAAAUAAGUUAACUAAUGAUUCAAGUUUAUCAUACUAAAAUAUAUUAUUUUUUAUUAUUUUGUUUUGAAAUUUUUUUAAAUAUAUAUGGUUUUAAAUGUAUGUGCUCUAACAUGAGAUUAGUUAUACUGUAAUAAGAUUUUAAUUUGAUAUGUUUAAUUUUUUAAUUUAACUCAAACAAUUUCACUCGAUUUUAUUUGAUUCGACUCGACUUAAAUUUCAUUUUACUCAACUCGAUUAAAAAAAUUUAAAUCAAGUUAAUAUGAUAAAAUAGGACUGGUCAACUCGAUUAACUCGAAAUUUUUUUCACUCGAUUCACAAUUUUAUCUAAUUAUUCUAAUGCAUAUUUGUUGGGUUAUUCCAUCUUUAAUAUUUAACAUAUGUUCAUUAUCAUCAUUUGUUGGUCCUUGACUAGGUUAAUCAUCAUCUGAAUUUGAAUCUGUGUCAUUAAGGUUAUCUAGAUCUAUUUUUUCCAUAUAAUCUUUGAAGUAUGAAUAAUCUCAAUUCUGCCUAUAAUUCAAAUUAUGAAAUAUGUAACAUACUAGUAUGAUUCAACCUUGUUUUAUGUUAUACUAAGGUGAUAUUGUUAAUAUGGAAAAUAUAUUUUUUAAAACAACAAACGUCUCCUCAACCAUAUUUCAAAACAUUAGAUGUAUCAAAUUAAAGAGUUUGUGAGUUGUCUAUGGUACUUGUGUCUAACAUCAUUCUCUUAAAUGGUAUUAUACCCUACAAUAUGAUACAAUAACUUUUUUUUUUGUAUUUGCAUAAUUAACACCAACUUUAUAAUAUUUAGGUUCAAAGUCCAAAUAGAAUAGGCUUUAAUUAUUAAAUUUUAUAUAAAUUUAAUUUGAACAAACACUUAAGCUAUAUCCCUUUUUAUAAUAUGUAAAUUAAGUCAAAAUAAUAUAAAAUGCAUAAUAUAUAACCUUUAUAAAAAAUAUUUUAUAAAUUGUUCAAUAACUUUCAAACACUUCUCAUAAAUAAUACUUUUUUGCGAUAAUUUUAGAAAGUUAUUUUUUAUAAAUAAAUUAUAAUUGAAAAAUUAUAACAUUUUUUAUGUAUAAGUAUAUUAUUUCUAUAAUAUAUAACAUGAACACAUAAAUAAGUUAUGUACAUACUUCUCGACCAUAAAUUUUUAUAAAUAUAUAUAUUAUAACAAUUUUAUAAUAAUCAAAUUAUUUUUUUCUAAAAAUUUUUUUAGCCUUUUAACUUUAGAAAUAUUUUUAGGAUUUAAAUAUUAUAUAUUUUUUGCUAUAACUUUAUAAAAUGUCUCAACUAUUUUUAUAAUAUAAAUUUUUAGGAUUUAUAAUAUAAGAAUUUUUUUUACCAUAACCAACCGAAAUAGUUAUACAUGUUUAUAAUAUAAUUUUUAUAACUUCUAUAAAAUUAUUUUUUAAAAAUUGGAUUUAAGUGUAAUUAUUCAUGUAUGUCUCCAAUUCUCACCCUCCUCUAAGAAUUAAAAAGUGUAAUAUGAGUGCUCCAAUUACACAUAAUUUAGCGGGACCCAUCAAUCGCCAUGAUUACAUAAACUUGUCAAUUAUUAUAUAAUUACAAGCAAUUACACUCAACUACAAUUAUUAAGUAUUUUCCAAAUACUAUCUAAAUAAAUUUUGAUAUGGAUAAGGGAGUGAUUAUAUUACAAAAAAUUAUAUACUAGAGAGCCUAAAAUAAAAUUUUAUAAAUUAUUUUGGAAAAAAGAAAGUAAAGUAGAAAACUAAAAAACAUAGGCCAAUCCAAAGGGGCUGCCUUAAAUUUCUGCAAUUAUUUUAUCUAUAUUAUUAUUAAAAAUUUUCAAAAUUACAAAAUAUUUAAAAUAAUAUUUAAAAUUUAAAAAAAGUUAUAAAAUAAAAAUUACUUUUAUAAAAUUUUAAAUUCUUUUAUUUUUCUCUUAUUUUACUUUAAAAAAAGUUGUUUUAAAUUUAUGUGCUCUAAUUUGAGAUUUAAUUAUAUCAGCAAUAAAAUUUUAAUUUAAUUUGUUUAUUUUUUUAUUUAACUUGAAUAUUUUUAUUCGGCUUGACUCAUAUUUCAUUUCAUUUCAAUUAAAUUCACAAAAAUUUUAAAAUAAGUUUGGUUAGUAAAAUAGGAUUUGUCAACCUUUAACUUGAAUAUUUUUUUUACCAAUUCGGCUCAAUUUGGUUAAAUGCUCACUCUAAUUUUAAAAAUGCUAAUGGAGUUAAUAUCAUAAAUCAACCCAAUAUCAAAUCAAUUAGAGAAAUAUAAAAGAAAAAAAAAUCAACUUUAGUACGUGAUCUUAGAUGAAUUUUUUAUGAAAAUUAUAUUAGAUUAAGUUAAGAAUAAUUGAUAUUUUAUUUUAUUUUAAAAAUGACAUUAAAUAAUUAUUGUAUUUAAAAAAUUGCAGAAUACAAAUAACUCUUUUUAAAAAAAAUACACUACCCACUUAAAAAAAACUUCCUUAUCCAAAAAUAAAUUACUAAAAUCCAUCUUAUUAUUCUUUUUAUUUUGUAAAUAUUUUUAAAAUUUUCACCAACUGAUUGUAUAAUGGCUAAUUUUAUUAUUAUUGUUGUAUUAUUAUAUAAAAAAAUAUAGUAAAAUUAUAUUUAGACCUAACAAUAUUUUAUUUAAAAAAUAAGAAUUUGAUAUAUUAAAUUUAUUAACACUUGUAGUUGAUUUUUUUGGUAGAAAUUGUACUAAUAUUUUUCAUUAUAUGUUAAUAAAAUAAAAAAUAAAAAAUUUGGGUGAUUACAAUAUUAAAUAUAAAGUCAGAAUUGUUGAUUGUACUUAAUCUUAUUUUUUAUUUUUGUAAAAUGAAAUAAUUCUAUGUUUAUUUAAAAUUUUAUAAAUGCAACAUUAAUUAAUUGAACAUUUUUUAUAAUUUUAUUUUAAAAUUGAAUAGUCUGAACUACAAUUUUAAAUAAAUCUUAAAAUGGAUAAGUGGUGUUGGUUUUAUAAAAUUUUAUAUAAUUUUUCCUCAAUAUAUAUGGUUAUCUUUUUUUCUACACUGAAUUGUGAUAUUAUAGUUUUUAAAUAAAAAUAACAGAAUUAGUGAAUGGAAACAAUCACAUCACAUCACAUCAAAGCCAUUCCUAAUCGCCCACAGAUUUAUUUCUUUAUGAGUUUCACUGUAUACUCACAAGCGGAUAAAUAUACGUAUCAACAAUUAUAACAUGAGAUUAAAUAAAACAUUUUCAAGUUUUAUUUUCAUUUUUUUCGUUUACAUAUAAAUAAAGCCCAAGCCAAUGAAACUUUGCAAUUAAAGCAGAGGCUUUCAAUUUUCUUUUGGGGUAAAUAUCCACAAUUGAUGAAUACAACAGUUAAGAAGACAAGUGGAUGGCUUUAAAUAACAGUAUUUAGAUUGUUGUUAUUAUAGAUCAAAAAAACUAUUUUUAAGUAAAUGAUUGGUUUUAAUGAUAGUUAUUAUUAUACAUAAAAUAAACUCUUAAUGGGUAGAUUUUUGGAGUCAAAUAAAAAGGAAAAAGUAGUUUAGUGUUAUAGGUUAUGGAUCAAAGUCCGUGAUCAUUGCAUAUAAAGUUGCUUAUAGAGGUCAAUUGAUUAAAUGAGAUACAUGAACUAGCUCGAUUUAUAGAACACAUGGAGAAGCACAUCUACUUGAAGUCUUGUUGACCCAAUGAAACAUUCUAAUAAAACUAGAGUUAUCAUGAUGAAUAUUGGUAAUCAUAAGGGAUAAUAUUAUAUAGAGUUUAAAUCCCUUGGGAUUCUCAUCUUGUAGAUAGGCUUUAAUCUCGACUAUUAAUGUAAUUUAAAGUGUACCAUUGGAUCUGGGGGAGCUCAACUAUAAAUAGGGGUAUUCCCCCUUAUUUGUAGUCAUUCCAUUUUAUACUCAAUGUAAUUCAUUCAAAGUAAUAUAAUACUUUGAGAGCAUUUACUCAAACACUUGAUGUGCAUUUGUUUUCUUGUGGCUUUUCUUUUCGUUUAUUACUUCUUCGCUUGAAAGUUUGUUUCCACUUGUUUUUGGUACCUUAGAGAAUUUCCUUUGAGAAUUCUUACAUUUCUAAUGUUAUGCUGACUUAAGCGGAUGUGAAGCAAAAAAAUUGCCUAAGGCCGCACGAGUCUGCCAUACUAAAGUUCUAGCCCCAUGACAGUUGGUAUUUAGAGCCAAGGUUUGAAGGUGUUGAGUUAGAUGGCGAAAGAAGUACAUGAUCAGAUUGAGCUGAGGGAGACCCAUGAAAAGGCCAAGAAAGUAAGCAGAUCGAGGGAUAUGCUAUCAGCUAUAGAAUGUCGAGUGACCAAUCUCGAGGUAUCUGUAAGUGGUAUGAAGGAAAGUCUUGAUAUAGUUGGAGGACAUACCAUAGGGUUGGAAUCAUGGAAAGAUCAACUCAAAUAAUAGGUGUUGGAUGCCAUGAACAUGAAUAUGGAUGAGAUACAAAGGGCACUCCACUCCACUCCACUAAUAAUAAGUUGAUUGAGAAGAAUGAUGCUCUCUGUCACACCCCAAAAUUGGGCCUAAGAGUUUUAGGGUUAUUUUAGGAAUUUUAGCUCUAGUGUGCUCGAGUAUUUCGUAAGCAUGAUAUUCGAAAAUGUUUUUGUCUAUAGAAUUUUGAAAAUCAAUUUUUUUUUGAAAAUAAUGUUCAAAAGACUUUCAAUUUUGAAAUAAGGACUAAUUUGUAAAAGAGUCUAAAUUAUGAGUUUUAAAAGGCAAUUAAACCAAAUUUUAAUUUUUCACCCUAUUUUCCCCUUUCAUCUUUAUAAAAUCCACGUUAGUCUCUUCUCCAUAUUUUUGUUUUGCCAUCCAUUGUAUUCCAAAGCCCAAACUUAGUUCCUUAGAUUUCUAUCAUUCCCAAGUCAUAAAUAAAUCUCUAUAGUUUUUCAAGAAAAAUAUCCAAAAACACCAUAGAUUUCUCCAUUGCUUAACUUUCGGGUUUUUCGAUCAAACGUUUAGUUUUUCGUCAACUAAGAUAAUGAUUUGAUUCCUUAUUUGUUUUUGAUGUUAUUUGAUUUGAGUUUUUAGCUAUUAAAUCGCAUUUUUUAAAUAAAAGCCGAAAAUUGGAUCGUUAAUGGUGGAUUUCAGGAUUUUGGGUAAAAACGUGGUUUCAAAGUGUUAUUCAAUUAGUUUUGACAUGAUUAAAAGGUUUCUAAACUUUUUUUGAAGUUUUGUUAAAGAUUUAUAAUGUUUUAAUGGAUUUUUGUGAAAAUUGCCAUAAACAUGUUGAAAAUUUUGAUACCAUGAAUUGAGUAGUUUUGCGUUGUUUAAAGGUUGAAAAUUAGCCAUAGGCCAAUAAAUAGAUGAACAAAAUCAAUUUUAGAUGAAAAGAUUAAAUAUAGACCGAGAUAUUUAGAAUUUAAGUUUGCUAUGUCGAAGGUUUCGAUUACUUGAGAACUUAGCUUAGGCUUAUGUUUUUGAUUGCUUGAGUUGAGUCCUUAGCUGAUUUUUUAUUGUGUUGUUGUGUGAUUUAAUGUGUUGAAGCUUUGAAUUCAUUAGGACUUUUAACAAGUUAAAGAAAGGCUAGUUUGAGAUUUCGGCUUUUCGACGAAAGUGUAAUUGGUAAGUGUUUAGAAUAAUUGCUUAUGGACACGACUCAUUACAUUAAUUGGGAUUUUAGAUGUAGCCUAAACCCCUACUCUAAAUUCUAAGUGUAAGCUUUCUCGUACUCUUAAUUUAAUAUUGCUUGUUAAUUGUAAAACUGUGAACUAAUAAGAGAUGUUAUAUUAUAUGAUAUGUGCUCAUGAUUACCUUUGAGAAUGUGCAAAUGUGAGCAUGCUAUACAUGCUAGAUGAUAGUAAUAAUGUUGUGUUAUAAUGUGAUAUUUGCCGUGAAUAAGUGCGGUGAACGGUAAGUAAAUGUGUGUUAAUAACGAAUACUUUGACCUAGUGAACUUGAGACCAUUGGAUAUAGUUGGCAUGCUAUAGGAUUAUGAGUACUCACCGAUAUGUGUUAUGUGAUUUGGGCGUUGACAUGUCGGAGAGAUAAGGGAAUGUAAGCUAAGCUCCAUUCAAUAUGACAUGUUUGGUAUGAUGGAGAGUGUCAGCUAUAUGCUUCACCUUUUAAGAUAUGUUCGACUCUAUGAGUCAUUUGGUGUGUUGGAGAUCCAUGUAUCCGAUGAGUGGUGAUAGAGCCCAUUUUUACGUUUCAUAGCUCAAAUGUCAAAUUAUUUUUAAUUGUCUUCAUGUGUAAUGUGUUAUAUGCCUAAACAUGAAUGUGAAUAAUAUGUAAAUGAGCCAAUAAGUUAAAUAUGACUAAGUAUAAUAUGACAUUAAAGUUGGGACUGUUGUAAUUGUGCUAUAUGAUUGUUUCUUUAAUGCAUGAUGACAUGUUUGCAUGGUAAUUAUUUUGAUCAUUCAAUGAGCUUGUAAAGCUCACCCACUAUUUUUAAUCCAUUUCAAAUUAUAGCAUUUCGGUGUGAGCGGUGUGGUUCCAAGGGAUUGAUCCAAGUAAGUCUUUAGUAAUAUUUUAUAGGUGAUUUAUUAUUUGUUUUUUAUUUGGGAAAUAAAAGCAAUGUGGUAGAACUAUUGCAUAAGUGUUGCCAUGAUGUUUUGGUUAUUUUCAUAGUUUAUUAAUUCUUAGGAUUUAUGGAUACUUUUCUUGUUAUGUCGCUUGGUUACUCGGACAUGUUUUUGAUGAUUGAACUAUUAUUGUGGUUAUUUUGAUGUUUAUUUGACGAGGUAUUAGUUACAUGUUGAAUGAUCUAUGGUUGGGAUGGAUUAUUUGCCUUGUUAUAUUGUAUUUUUGGUGUCUAAAGCAGAUGUAUCAAUAUUCAAAUUUUAAAAAUGAUACCUCUGUGAUAUUUCAUUGCGCAAGAAGUCAGUAUUGUAAUUUGGUAUCGAUACCUUAUCAUGAGUAUUGAUACUCGGGGUAAAAUAAUCGAUACUUUAAUAAAUGUACUGGUAUUUUUUGGGAUUUGAUUUUUAGAUGAGAAACAAAAUGUUGUUUUGAUACUGAUUUUCUAAUCGGUAUUGAUAUUGGGUAAGGAAAAUAUUGAUACCCAUAUUCCAGUAUCGAUACCUACAUAACUUGUUUUGGAAUUUUGCUAAAUGAACCCUAUGCAUGUUCAAUUAUAUUUAUAAGACUAUUUGAUGUAUGUUUAGUAUGUAAUAAAGAUGAUUAGAGUAAGUUUGACUCAAAACUCUUGCAUAUGUUAAAAUGGAAGACCUUUUUUUUUUAAUAAUAAUCUCAUUUAUACUGUGUAUGAUGUGAGAUGGUGGUGUGACAUCCUGAUAUUCAGGUUCGGCGACUAAACUGGGUAUAGGGUGUUAAACUCUCAAAGCUAUGAUGAUGGCUUUGAAGGGGGAAACUGAAGCUAUGGUGAUGACUUUAAACACAAAAAUUAAGGAGCUUGAGGGAAAGCUUGUUGUGUGUAGAGUUAUCGUGGGAAAAAAAAAGAUGUUGAAGGCAACACCCAAACUUAAGAUGGAUGUACCUAAAUCGAAAGAGUUUAAGAGGGCAAGAUCCGCGAGGAAUGUGGACAAGUUAUUUUGUAAGAUGGGAUUGUACUUUCAUGCAAUGAACAUUGAGGAUUAUGUCAUUAAUGUAAACACUGCUUCAAUUUAUUUUACUAAUGUCGCUCUUUUAUAGUGGCGUUGUAGGUUCACAAACGAGAAACAAUAUGGUACUGUAAUUGGGACUCGGGUGGAGUUUUAGAAUAAGUUUAAGAAGCAGUUUUACCUUCAGUAUGCGGGGGAGGAGGCUCUGGCUAAGUUGCAUCGACUUACAAAGUAAGGCACAAUUCGAAAGUAUGUUUGGGAGUUCAUUGAGUUGUUACACCAAAUACCUGAAUUGAGUGAGAAAGAGGCAUUUUACUAGGUCAAGGAUAAGUUUGAAGCCUUGGAAGAAGCAAGAGUUGAGUCGAUUAGGGAUUAAAGAGCUUACCAAAGCCAUGGCCAAGGUGCAAUCCUUUGUCAAGCUUGGUUCGAGGAAAUACAAGUUCAAGUCUUCCAAGCCUAAAGAGAUAGGCAGUGGUGGUGGAGUCUAUGAGGAAGAAUAGGAUAAAAUGACAACGGUGGUAAUGAGAAAUAAUAGAAUGGGAAGAGGAAACCCAACAAUCAUUUGAAGGGCAAAGAGAAUGAAAAGAAGCCAAUAUAGUGCUUCUUUAUUGGAUCUGGUGCCCUGAGUAUAGCAUUUUUAUCUAAGUACACUUGUAAUUUUUUUGAACAGGUUGAUUAAUAAAAUUGUUCAUGAAUUACAUUAGUACUUUGUAUAUUUUCCUUGCUUGUUUUUUACACACAAAGUAAAAUGAAAGCAAAUGUUUCUCACUGGUUGUCUAAUGUUUAACUAAAACUAAAUGGUAUUACGGGGUUGGAUCGUAAUACAAAAAGGCAACUUAUAUUAGUUGACGAACCAAAACAUGUCCUUAGUCUAAUUAGAAAUGAGCAAACCAAUUGAAAGACUAAUAUGUCGUCUAUCAAGUCCAAUUUGAGAGAUGCCUUAUCUUGUGCAUCAAAAUGGAUGACUCCCAAAAGAUAGAGACAUAAAUGUGACUGACUGGACUGGCAGUACAUCGGACAUGACCGAAACAAAAUAGAUCCUAAAUUGGUUUAUGGAUUUAUUCACUUGUGACGUUCAUAAUGUGGCAUACCUAAAUCCUGAGUGUAUGGCAGAUUAUGUAUGUGUGACUCGUACACUUUGAUGUAAGUAAAAUUCAGAGUUCGAAUAGAUAAGAAACCAAAAGUUGGUAUGUUAGGUGUACAACUUUUGUAAUAUGUAGCGUCAUUCAAAAUAGUGGAAUGCAUAGCCCAAAACAUGGGUAAAUGAUAUCCUCUCAUUGGCAUUACAUAGUUGAUGAAAAGUAAACGUGAUCACGGGUUGUCUGUCUUUGUGAUAUAUAACUUGAUCACUAUUUGAUAGUGAUUGACUUUUCAUGAAGGAAGAUGUAAUGAUUACCAUGAGAUAAAAUAGGAUCAUUGGAAGAAUGAAUAUUAACCCAAAGAGAUCAAGGAUAUCCUAUGAGGGUAACUUACUUAUAACAAGGUCAUUGGAUGAGCAUUGAUCAAGUUACUUUCGUAAUGGUAUGUCGUUGAAGAGAGCUCAAUCACGAUACUAUAGUGGAAUAACUUCGUGACUAAAUGAGUUUAUAAUCAAUAGAAAAAAAGCCAGAACUUAAUUAUAAAUCAUUUGAGCCUCAACUACAUAUAUCCAAUUGAUCCCUCCAUUAGCUCAUUGAAACCAUAAAUGAAUUGUGUGUUUAAAUAGAAACGAACAGAAUGAAUAGGAAAAGAGAAAUGAGAAAUGUUCAGGAAUGAUUAUGGUUUUCUUCGAAAUGGAGAAAUGGAAUCAUUUGAAAAUGAAUAUAGGUUUCAAAAAAUGGAAACGGAAAUGAAAAUGAAAAUGGAAAUAAUCCAUUUGCAAUCCUAUAUGGAUUACUUAAAAAUGAUCGGAAGAAUAAAUUUAUGUUUUUGGACUGCUUUGAAGCCCAAAAAUGAAAAUAAACCAUUUGGUCAUAGUGAACAUGUUGAAUUGUGAAAUAUUAAACAUAUUUUCUCGAAAUUUUCUAGGGGAAAAAUCAUCAAAAUUUUACUAGAGGUAAAAUUGUCAAAUUUUUGCUAGGGGUAAAAUAGGGAUGAAAAAAUUGUUUUAUAUAUAAAUAUUAAAGUUUAUUUUGGGAAAUAGAAAAACUAAAUCGGGUUGGAUCACAUUAUAGAGUACUGGGUCAAAAAAGCUUAGGAAGUACUUGUAAUUGGACCCAAUGUGAGAGAGGCCCAAAAACCACUCAUAGACAUAAAGGGGGCAGUAACUCUAGGAGGAAACUAAGGUGUGUCGUCUACCUUAGUACUAUUCUAAAUAAGAUUUUGUUUUUCUAUUUGAAAUAAACCACUACAACUCAACAAUGGUUCUACCUUAUCUUCCUAUAAAUAUAUGGCACUUGUUUAAUAAAAAUAUCUAUUCAUUAUAGUAACACCCUUUGUAUAUUGUCCUUAAUGUUUUUGCAUGCAAAACAAAGUGGAAGCAAAUAUUGACUUACUGUUUAUCUUACAUUUAACUAAUACUAAGCGGUAUCACAUGGCCGAAUUGUAAUACAGAUUGAUGGCUUGUAUUAGUAGAUGAAGCUAAACAUAUCUUUAGUCUAAUUGAAAAUGAGCAAACCGAUUGAAAGACUAAUAUGUUGUCUAUCAAGUCCAAUUGGGGAGAUGCUAUGUCUUGAGCAUUAAAGCGGAUGUCUCCUAGAAGAUAGAGACAAAAGUGACUGAUUGGACUAACAGUACAUUAGACAAGACCCAAGUAGAAGAAAUCCUAAAUUAGUUUAUGGCUUUAUUCACUUUUGACAUUCAUAGAAUGACAUACCUUAAUCAUUAAUGGAUGAUGAACUAUUUAUACGCGACUCGUAUAAUUUGAUGUAAGUAAAAGCCUAAGUUAAAAUAUAUAAGGAAUCGAAAGUUGGUGCAUUGGGUAUACGACUUCUGCAAUAUAUAGUAUCAUUCACAAUAGUGAAAUUCGUAGCCUAAUUAAUGGGUAAAUGAUAUCUUCUCAUCGAUAUUUCAUAUUAGAUGAAAAGUAAACAUAGCCACCGGUCGUUUGACUUUUUGAUAAAUGACUUUAUUACUGUUUGAUAGUAAUUGACUUUUUAUGAAAGAAGAUGUGAUGAUUAACAUAAGAUAAAAUAGGACCAUGUUGGGAGAAUGAAUUUAUCCUAAAUUGGUUAAGGAUGCCCUAUGAGUGUAAUACACUAAUGAUAAGGUCAUUAGACAAGCACUAAUUAAGUAGCUUUCUUAAUGGUAUGUAGUUAGGAAUAGCUUAGUCACGAGACUAUAGUGGAAUGACUUCAUGACUAGAUAAGUUUAUAAUUAAUAAGCGAAAAGUUGAAAUUUAAUUUAUAAAUUAUUUGAGCCCUAAUUACAUAUGCCCAAUUGAUCCCUCUACAAGUUCUUUGAAACCAAAAAUGAAUUGCAUGUAAAAUCAAAUGAAUAGAAAUGAUGAAGUUAAAGAAAUGAGUCGCAUUCACAAAUGAAUGAAUUUUAUCACUGAUUUUAAAAAUGACUUGAGAAUUAAUUUAAUGUCUUCAAAUUAUCAUUUAAUUAAUUUUAAUUAAAUAAUUUAAGUUCAAAAAUAGAAUUAAAUUAAUUAUUCAGUAUUAAUCCAUUGAAUAUGUAAAUUAAAUAUAUUUCAUACUAGUUUCUUUUAUAGUAAAAUUGUCGUCACUUUAUUUUAUAGUAAAAUCGUCAUUACUUUGAUGGAAUUAGAAUUGAGUUGAGAAAAUUAUUUACUUGAUAAAUUAAUUAAGUAAAUAAUAUUUUUUGGGGAAUAGAAAACAAAUAUUGAGUUGGAUUAAAUUAUAAAGUGUUGAAUAAAAAGUCUAGGAAGCACAUAUAAUUGGACCUAAUACAUGAGAGGUCCAAUUCUUCUCAUUUUACAUAUGAGGGACAACAACCCUAGUGUUUUUAUCUAGGGUGUGUCACCCCCUUUUUCUAGUUAGACAAAGAGAGUUAUUAUUAUUAUUAAAUAUACAUUUUGUGUUAUACUUAUUCAACCAAGAUUCUCCUAUCUCAUUCUAUAAAUAGAUGGCACUGGUAAAGCCAUUAACACAUAAGUUUCAAAUAUUGUUCUUAUGUCAAAAAGUAUAAAAUUUUAUUUUCUUAGAAUUAAAUUUUAUUUUUUGAAAAUAAUAAUUUCUACCGGUUUCUAUUGAGAGAAUUACUUUUCUAUUGAAAGUAAUAAAUCGUUUUUAUUUUUUUGUUUGGUUCUUGUUAUUCGAGUCCACACUCGAUGUCAUUCGAGGUACGAGGAUAGUGGAGAAGGUCGUUCGGUUGAAAACUGAGAACGUUUUGGAUUUGUCUUGCACAAAACAUUGAUAAUUUUCGAGAAAAUAUUUACUACUAUAAAUAUCACAAACCGUCUUGAUUUUAAAAAAAUUUAGACUUUUGUUGUAACCGAAAAUAGUUUAAAUAACCAAAAUUUUUCAACAGAUUGCUGAGUUAUUAGUGGGGCUACCACCUAUGAGAGGUGGGUUUUGCAUCUAACUUCACGGGUAAAGAAGUGGUGCAAACUGGGAAGUUAAAUCGAGUAAAUGCUACGAGCGAGGUACAUCGCAAACACUUAUCUAGUGUUUUUCAUUAUGACUUACCAUUUCUUUCGCAAAGACACAGGGGACUUUUUAGAGUUUUGAAGCAAGUAAGUCAAUGGGCUUACAAAACGGAGUUGGCGGCAAUACUCAAGGUUAACCAGUGUUCAAUGUGGGCAUGACAGAGCCUAUUUGUAUGGAUCAAAGGGAUCCCUAAUCAAGGAAAGUCACAAUAGGGGCAAGUAGGAGUGGUGGGCUCUUGCAAAUGAAGUGUAAAAAUAUGAGGAAUAGUUUGAGUUAGACGACGAAAACAUAAGAAGAGGUAAAUGCUCUAUUGGAUCUGGUUCCCUAAAUGUAGUAUUUUCACCUAUGUAUACAUGUAAUUUUUUGAACAGAUUGGUUAAUAAAAUUAUUCAUGAAUUACAUUAAUAGUUUAUAUAUUUUCCUUACAAUUUUUUUGCAAGUAAAGCAAAAUAAAAGAAAAUGUUGCUCACUAGUUGUCUAAUGUUUAACUAAUACUAAGUGGUAUUACGUGGUUGGAUUAUAAUACAAAAAGACAACUUAUAUUACGUGGUGGAAUGACUUCGUGACUAAAUGAAUUUAUAAUUAAUAGGUGAAAAUUGGAACUUAAUUAUAAAUCAUUUGAGCCUCAACUGUAUAUGUCCAAUCGGUUCCUCCGCUAACUUGUUGAAACUAGAAAUGAAUUGCAUAUUGAAUCAAAUUUGCAGAAAUAAAUAGAAAUGGUGAAAUAGAGAAAUAGAAAACAUUUGGAAAUGAUUAAGGUUUUAUCCAAAAUGAAAAUGAAAAUGUAGAAAAUGUGGUUUUCUCCAAAAUGAAGAUGGAAAUAGAAAUGGGAAUGAAAAUGAAAAUGCGAAAUGAACAAUAAUUUCUCAAAAAUGAUCAUAAGAUUGAGUUUAUGUUUUCGAGUAAUUUCAAAGCUUGAAAAUUGAAAAUAAACUAUUCGAUCAUAAUGAAAAAGUUUAAUUAUGAAAUAUUAAAUACAAUUUCAAAAAUUUUACCAAGGGUAAAAUCAUCAUAAUUUUAUUGAGGGUAAAUUGGGAUGAGAAAAUCAUUUAAUUUAAAUAUAUUGAAGUUUAUCUUCAAAAAUAGAAAAAUAUAAUUGGAUUGGAUCAAAUUAUAAAGUACUAGGUCGAAAAGUUAGCGAAGUACUCGUAAUUAGACCUGAUGUGAAAGAGGCCAAAAUCCUCUCUUGGAAUAUGAAGGGGCAGCAACCCUAGUAGGAAUACUAGGGGAUGCGUCCACCCCACUCCUACUCUAAGUAGGAAGUUAUUUUUCUAGUUGAAAUAAACUUCUACAAUUCAACAAGGUUCUACAUUCUCUUCUUAAAAAUAGAUGGCACUGGUAGAGCUAUUUACACAACUUUUGGAUAUCGUUAUUCUACCCGAAAAUAGAACGACUUCUAUUCUCUAAGAAAUAAAUAUAUUUUCUGGAAUAAUGAUUCUGCUGAUUUCUAUUUAAAAAGAGAAUUUUUCAUUUUAACCACAAAAGAAAAUAAAACUAUUUCUAUUUUUUGUGUUUAAUUCGAAUUGUUCGAACCCAAACUCGAAGCAAUUCAUGGUACAAGAAUAGCGGAGAAGAUCAUUUGGUUAAAAAUCGAGAACGGCAAGGAUCCUUUUAUUCGAAAACAUAGGUAUGGUUUCAGUCUAGGGUUUAUUGCUAUAAAUAUUACAAACUGAGUCAAUUUUUAAAAUUUUUAUUCUUCGCUAUGCAAGAAAACCAUUUUCGAACUAGAUUUUUUCCAACAUGUUCUAAGGAAAGGAACUACCCAAUACAAAGACUAGUUAGGAAUCAGCCAUGACAUUCAGGAAGUUCUUGGAUGAGUUAAACUAGUGUUAUUUCAAAAAUACAAUGAGGGCGUCGCGAGAAUGGGUGGGAGAAAUUUUCACGAGUCAUAGAUGAAAGCCCAUGACCAUUGCGCAUAGAAUUGGCCACAGAGGUCAAUUCUAGGCUCAUUUAACCCACACAAAUUGGCCUGAUUCGUGGAACAAAUUAAGAAGCCCAUCUACUUAAAACCUUGGUGGCCCAAUGAAACACUCCAGUAAAAUUAGAGUUACUAUGGUGAAUAUUUGUAAUCCUAAGGGAUAAGAUUAUAUAGAGUUUAAAUUCCUUAAGACUCUAAUAUUAUAGAUAGGCUCCAAUGAUACUAUUGUUUCGUACUAUUAUGGAAGAAGAUUCAAAUAUGUUAUUAGGUGUUCCAUUUUAUUUUCCCAUUAAGGCCGAACCUAAACAUGUGCUCAAGAGAUAGUUAUCCAUACACUGAAAAGGAUAUAAGGGUUAUUGAGAAGAGAAGAGUCAUGGUGGUCCCCUUUGGAUCGCCCAGAUCCCAUGAGUGAAUAAAAAGUUGGAUCUAUAUUGGAUCUCACCUCGAUCGUCAAUGUAAUUUAAAUUGUAUUAUUGGAUGUGAUAGGUGCUUAACUAUAAAUAGAGGUCUUCUCCCUCGUUUGUAAUCAUUCCAUUUUGCACUCAAUGUAAUUUAUUCAGAGUAAUAGAAUACUUUGAGAGCAUUUAUUCAAACACUUGGUCUGCAUUUGCCUCCUUGUGGGUUUCUAUUCAUUCAUUGCUUAUUCGCUUGAGAGUCUACUUUUGCUUAUUGUCAUCAAGUCGAGUGAUACUAGACUCAGUCAACCCCUUAAUAAUAUUAUAGAUGAGUAAGGAUUGUAUGAAACUGUGAUUCCACGUCAUCUAUGUCACUUUCCAAUAGGAGAAUGACAAAUCAGAUUUUUUCUCCUGAUUUUUAGCAUUUUUAGUUGGAUUUGAAUUCUUUUAGGAGAAAAAAUCUAAUUUGUCAUUCUCCUAUUGAAAAGGGAUAGGGAUGACGUGGUUUCACAAUUUCAUACAAUUAUUUCUAUAUUAUAGAUAGAUAAAUAGAUAAAUAAUAGACAUUAGAUUAGUAACACUAAGAAUAUAGGUAAAGAAAAGAAUUAUAUUAAAAAUGUAUUUAUAUAAAAUUUAUUCAACUAUUGAAUCAUAGGUGGAGUGAUAAAUUAUUUAGAUAUAAAUUAAUUUUGGGUUUAAUCCCUAGAUAUUUAGUUUCUAAUGGUGAUUUCUAAUUUGUUUUAUUUAAGCAUUUUUAUAAAUAAGAAAAUACAAUUAUAAUAAUAGUUAUCACUUUUUAAAAAUUUGAAUUGAUGGCUUGAAAUACUAAAUUCAGUAAAAACUAUUAUUACAGUAUAGAUACUGUACGUUCCAUACUUCUGGCAAAAACAGAUGUAAUAAUAAUCUAUACUACCAAAUAGAAAAGGAAGUCUCUAAAGCCUUCCUGCAUGACAUUUGUCCAUUGCCUUUUUUGGUUAAACCCUUUAAAAUGAUUUAAAUUUAGUUUUGAUUUCUACACUUUUUACAAAAUUUGAGAUUUAUUAUUUAUAUUUUAGUUUUGAUAUGAUUUUUAUAAUAUUAUCAUUUAGUUUAAAUAUUUUAUUUGAAUUAAAAUAUUAUUGUAAUUUUUUUAAGAAUUGUUAAUACAGUUAAUGUUUUUCUUUUUCUUUUUUUGUUAAUAUUAGGUUCAUUAAAAUGGUAUUUUAACAAUUUUAAUAACUGAAUUUAAAUUUUUAAUUUCAAAAAGUAAUUCUAAAUUUUAAAUAUACAAAAAAUAUAAAAACUUAAAAGCAUAUUAUAAUUUAUAAAUUUUUACUUUAUAAUUUAAUAAAAAGAAUUAAAUAAUUAAUCUAAUGAGAAGUCCAUACGAGUGAAAUAUUAAUCUCUGAAGAAUAAUCAAAUAUUCAGGAUUAAGUAUAGUAAUGGUAACAGAACGGAGCGGAUUUUUGCUUACUCUGGCUUGAUGUUCUACCACCAUGUCCCAACCUGAUCCUAACCUCAAAAAAAGAAAAAGAAAAAAGAGUUAACUUGCCUCGAAUCUGCACUAAAAAAUAAUUGUAUAUCCUACCAGAAUUCAAUUUUUUUUUUGAAUUUGUAAUGAAUUAAUUUUAAAAAAAUGGCACUACUUCCCAUUGAAUUUGUUGCGUUCUUUUUUCUUUCUAACUUCGAAUUUGUUGGGUUCAUGAUUUACUUUUGGAGCUACUGUGAUUUACAACAAAAACAAAUCUUGAGAUGCCUAAGUAACAUUUUGUGAAUGUUUGUGUGGGUGCGAUUUACAUUAAAAAGAUGAAAAAGAUAGGGAAAAUAAAUUGGUAUGAAAUGAAAGUAAAUCCAGUAAAAUAAUGUUAAUUUUUUUUAAAUAUAAUUAAUAUUAAAUAUAUAAAAGGACAACACGAAAUGCGGGGAUUUCACACUAAACCCAACCUUACACCAAUCCACCGGAAACCUGAUUUAAAAAAAAAAAACUGGAUUCAUGUACUCAAAACUUUUGGGUUGGUGGUCUUUUCCGUCCCUAAACUUUAUAGUUGAAAAAUUAGUGAUAACUACGAUCUCAAUUUGCGUAAACCAACGUGUAAUUGAGUAAAUAGUGGAACUUACUACAUCCAGACAAACAACAAUUGGGUUUGAAAUUGGCAUCUUAUCAUUCGGGAAAGUUGAAAUUCCAUUUUACUUCAUCACAGGCAGACAAAAAUCCUAAGUCGCCUAAUUUGACUAUUCAGCUUUGCAUCACAACUUGUAUAAAUGUAUAGGUUAUUCCUUAUAUUUAUUAGUUUGAAUUAAAUUAUUUAUUUAAUCAUUUUAUGUUGUAUAAUUCGGAAAAACUUGGAUCACAAAAUUUCAAUUUAAUGUCAAUAAAGAAAUUUUGAAAAUUUAACUUCAAGUUCCACCCAUUUAUAAUCAUAAAUUAUAAAUAAUAAAUAAGAAAAUUAAGAUGUUAUGUAAGAUUGCCUGGGACACGACCGUGUGAAAUUACUUUGAAUGUUACACGGUUUCUCACAUGGUUGGCCACACGGCCAUGUCCCUGAGCCACACGGCCAUGUGACCUCUAUUUUCAAAUUUUUCAAAAUUUUCUGUUUUUGUUUCAAAAUGGUCCUAGAAUGUUUCUAAAUUAUUUUUAGGGUCUCAUAGGCUCGAUUUAAAGCCAUUAAGUGUAUAUUAUUUUAUAAAUGAAUUGUGUAAAUGAAUGUUAGAAAUUAAAUUGAUUUAUUUGUUUCUAUUUGGGAUUUAAUGUUCGAAUUGUACUAUAAUGCUGCACAACUCUAAUCCAACAACAGAGACGGGAUAGGGGUGUUACAUCUAAAAUGAACUUUUUAACUUCCCAUUGUAGUUUUUGAGAACAAUGUCAAACACCUUAAAUUAACAAAUCACACUUUUUCACAACGCUUUUCUGUUGCACUUUCUAAAAGCACUUUUUCUAAACUGAGCUUUUCAAAAGCACUUAUCAAUUGCACUAGAAAUGUCAAAUUGGCCCUUAGCAUGCUUUAAAGUGCUCUUUUAGUGUGCUUAUUAGAUCCUAAAGGCUAUCUAGUACCUCUUCAAGAAAGAUUGAAGGUUGAUUUAGGUAAUUUUAGCAUAAGACUUGUGUCUAAGGCCACAAGUAACAUUCCUGGUAUUUUUCGAGAAGUGAACAAUGUCAAUUUGGGUUCAUAUGUACUCAAAAUUUUCAAAUAUGAAAAAAAUAGAAUUAAUAAUAUUAAUAGAAAAGGUGAUUGGACAUUUUAAGAAAUUAAAAGGACUUCUGAAUUUAGGAAAUUUAAUUCAAGGAAUUUACUAAAUUGUAAAAGUGUUGGGCUAUAGCAUUAAAACUAAAAAUAUGAAAUAAGUAGAUAAUAAGGAUUGGAAACAUAAUUAUAACAAAAGGGAGUGAUGUGAAAGGAUGAUGGAUAGAUUUUUUUUAGAAAUUAUUAAACUAAUGAACAAUAAUGUUUGGAUGUUCAAAUCCUUAUGGUUUUAACUAUUAAAAACUAACGUGAUUGAUGAAAUAAUUAAACAAUUACACGUAGCGUGUCAAAUGUACCUUAUGUGAAAAUUUUAAAAUUUUCAUAAAACUAAAUCCAUAUUGUGUUAUCUAUGACAAUAAAUUUUAUCAAAAUUAGUACUUGUGUUUUGGAAUCACAAGACUCGUCGAAUUCCUGACUUUCUACCAAAUGAUCUUCUCCGUUAUUCUCGAACUCUCGAUUGGUAAGAGAGUAAGCUCUUAACCCAAACUGAUCACAAAACAAAAAUAAUAACUUUCCAGUGGGAAAAAUUCAACUUUCUUUAGGUCAAAACAUAGAACCGAGUACUUAGAAAAUUUAGAUAUUAUUUUUUAACUAGUAAAUUUUUCUAAAUCUUGAUAGAGUGUCCAUGUAUAUGAUGCGUGUGUUUUUGGGUCACCCAUGGCCCCUUUAUAUAGAAAAAAAUCAUAAGAUUUCUAUUUGAACAGGAGGAGAGGAAAAAUAAUAUUUUAAUAGAAAACUCAGAGUCCCUCCAAGAUAACAUAUGGUGGGCGGCACUGGCACUUAGGGAUAUCAGUGUGCCAUCCAUCCCUUCUUCAAGAUAUGUUGUUUGAGCUUUUCAUAUAUGGAGUACAAUUAUAUAUCUAUAAACAAAUUUUAAUAUUAAUUAAAACAAGCUCAUAUAAUUAUCCAACCUAAUAAUCAGUUUUCUAUUCCCAAAAUAUUAUUUAUUUAAUUAAUUAAAAAUUAAUUUAUUUUCUCAAUUCAGUUUUAAUUUUGCCAAAGUAAUGAUGACUUUAUCGUAUUAAAAUUUAUGAGUAAAUAAAUUUAAUUUUCUCAUUAAGUUAAAAUAUGAUGACUGAUUAAUUUAAUUUUCAGUUUGAACUUCAAUUAUGUAAUUAUAAUCAAUUAAAUGACAAAUAAAAGAAACUAAAUUAAUUUCUAAGUCAUUUUUUUGUUCCUUUUGAGAAAAUGCUUACUGCAAAUAGUAAUUUAUGCAAUAUAUUUCUCUUUCAUUGUUUUCAUUCAUUCAUUAUAUCAGUUCUAAUUGCAACCAAUACAAGGUCGUGUUGAGUUGGCAGAGGGAUCGCUUGGACAUAUAUAUUUAGGGCUUAAAUAAUUUGUAAUUAACUUUCUACUCUUCAUCUAUUAGUUACAACAUUAUUUAGUAAUGGAGUCAAUCCACUAUAAGUACCAUGAUUGAUCUCUUCAUUAUAUACUAUCAUGAAAACAACCUAGAUUUAUGCUUUGUCCAAAGAUCUUGUCAUUUGUGUGUUAAUCUUUUAAGAUAUUAUUAGUCUUUUUGGGUUGUAUUCGUUCACUCAAAUAUAAUCAUAUUUUAUCUCAUGACCACCAUUGCAUUUUCCAUGAUGAAAAAAGAUUAUUACUAAUGAAUUAGAAUAACAAUCAUGUGUUCCCAUCGAAUAACCCGUGAUCACAUUUCCUUUUUCUUAAUUCAUGCAAUGUCAAUGAGAGGAUAUCAUUUACUUUUUUAAUUAAGCUAUGAAUUCUGCUAUUGUAAGAAAAUUCAUGCCAUACAUAAUGUUAUACCCAACACAUCAACUUUCAGCUCUAACAAUGACUAAGCUUAAGCUUUCAACAUGCCAGUUACAUACGCACAAUCAGUUAUUUACUUAGAAUUGAGAUAAACCACACUAUGAACAUCAAAAGUGAAUUUAUCUAUAAACAAAUUUAGGGUUAAUUCAACUUGGGCCUGGUCUGAUGUAUUGCCAAGCUAGAAAACCACACACGUCUUUAUCUUUUUGGGAGUCAUACGCUCUGAUACUUAAAACAAGAUAUCUUUCCAAUUAGACUGAAUAGAUGACAUAAUAGCCCCUUGAAUUAGUUUCUCAUUUUGAUUUGUCGGACUACAAACUAUUUAGAUUACCUACUAAUAUAAGUUUUCUUCCUACAUUAUAAUUCAUCCCUAUAAUGCAACUUAGUUUUAGUUAAACCUAAAGUAAUUAGUGAGCCAAUAUUUUCUUAGUUCAUUUUUUUUCAUGCAAAAACUAGAGAGGACAAAAUAAGAAAUACAAUAAUUAAACUAUGAAAUAUUAUUAACCAAUCUGGUAAAAAAAUCACAGCAUUAUGAUAAAAUAAUUGCACUAAGAGCACAAAAUCUCAACACAAUCACCUUAGCCAAGCACUUUUUCGGCAUGUCUCAUGCAUUGUAAUUAUUUUUACAUGAUUUGAAGAGGCAACAACUAAUGUCUAAUUUGUUGAAUGCCAUAAUAUGAUAAUAUCUUAGCAUGUAAAUAAAUAUCCCUUUUAAGAUAGACCUUUAUUUGAAUAUGAUAAAUAUCUAGUAUCAGCAUAACCAACUAAUAAAGAUGAAUCACUUGAAUAAAAUAACCUCAUAUCAGUGGUUCCCCUAAGAUAUUUAAAUAUAUGUUUAAUUUAAUUCGAAUGUCUAUAUAUUGAAAAAGAGCUAAAUCUUGCUAACAAGCUUACAACGAGUGCUAUAUCAAGUUGUGUGUUAUUUGCAAGAUACAUUAAUGGCCUUACAACACUUAGAUAUGGUACUUUAGUGCAAAGAAACUUUUCAUCAUUCUCACAAGGAUGAACCAAGUCUUUAUUCACAUCAAGUGAUUUUACAACCAUCAAGGUACUCAAUAGAUGUUCUUUAUCCAUGUAAAAUUUCUUUAAGAUCUUUUUUGUAUAAGUUGGUUGAUGGAUGAAUUUCAUCUUUUAUAUGCUUGAUCUACAGGUCAAGACAAAACUUUGUUUCCCAAUACCUUUCUUUUCAAAUUAAUUCUUUAGGUAAUCUAUUGCAUUUUAAAGCUCUUUGUGAGUUCUAGUAAUAUUUAAAUCGUUAGAAAAAUAAUAAUUAUCACAAAAUCUGAUCAAGAACUUUUUAUAAAAACAAAUAGGCAAAUUAGAUUAUUUUUAUAAUAUUCUUUCAACAACUAUUCACUAAAACGAUUGUACCACAUAUGACUAGAUUAUUUUAAUCCAUAUAAGGAUUUCUUUAAUCUAAUUGAGCAAUUUUCCUGAGAAUCUCUAUAUUCUUCAAGGACUUUCAUAUAAACUUCAUCAUCUAAUGAGUUAUACAAAUAAGUUGUAAUAAAAUCCAUUAGACACAUAUCAAGUUUUUCACAUAUUGUCAGACUAAUAAGAUAUCUAACAUAAUUGUAUAUACCAUAGGAGAGUAUGUAUCUCCAUAAUUAGUUUUGAGCUUUGUGAAAAUUCUUUUGCUACAUAUCUCCAUAAUUAGUUUUGAGCUUUGUGAAAAUUCUUUUGCUACAAGUCGUGCUUUAUAUAUAAUGAUCUCAUUUUUCACAUUCCAUUUUUUCACAAAUUCGCAUUUGUAUCUUACCAAGUUUAUAAUCUCAUUUGCAUUCAAUCCACAAAAUAACUAUUAUUUAGACGCCUUAGGUAUAUGCCGACACAAAAGAUAGACAUCACUACAUUUGAGUCGAGAGUGUUGUUGGAUGCUGAAUUGGUGAUCAAAAUUGAAGUACCUAAUCUGCACAUGGAAAACAAAAUAGUACGCUGAGUAAAACUCAGUGGUAUUUUUAUAAUUCAAAUAUUUAAAGACAAUAUAAUGUAAUAUGCAUAUUUUAAUUAUAAGCACAUUUGAAUAUUUAAGACCACAUUUAUUCAUACAAUGACAUUAGCCAUUCAAUAUUCAAUUCAUAAAUACAUCAUUUCAUAUUAUUCUCAAAUCUCAUCACUUGCUAUAUAAUAGCUUUUCACAAUUUAAUAUAUAUCAUUUAAACAAUAAUAUUAUUCAAACCAUAUCCAAUUCAUGAAUACGUAAUUCAUGUGUCUCAUUUUCAUGUUUCAAUUCACUAUCCCAUUUUUAUUCACACAAAAUAUCAUUCAAUAUCAAUAAUAGUACUAUUUUAUUUAAUUACCCCUAUUAACACGACUCAGACUCGGACGGAUACACAGAUCCAACCAAUACACCAGUUCGGCACCCAGUGCAUUAUUGGAUAAAUCUGAAGUAAUAACUGCGCCCAGCGCUACAUAAAUUUGACACCCAGUAUCUCAUCGGUUAAACCAAAGCAAAUUGGCACCCAGUGCCUCAUCGACUCAAAGUCGAAGAAAUCCUUGAACUCUUCCAAGCCUAUGGCAUGCCAUCUAUAUCAGGCUCAGCCUGAUACAGUUAAUAGGGUUUAAUUUCACUUUCCAAAUACAACUAAUAUUCAAUUAUCAUAUUUGCACAUAUAUAUUCAUUUCAAUUCAAAUAAUCAAUAUAUUCAUAAUAUAUAUAUCAAUUCAAUCCAUUUAAUUAACUUUUAAUUCAAUUCAAUGUCAAAGUGCUAAAUACUCACCUCAAUACUUACCAUAUGUAUUAAAUAAAAAAUACAACAAUUAAUAACUAGUUUCGGAUUAUAGAAAUACAAACCAAGAAUUCCGAGCUAUUUCACGUCAACUUUAUCUUUCUCUUUUUUAGUUGAGGUUUCCGGUACGAUGUUAGCUACGGGAUUAAAACAAUUAAAAUUUAUCAAUACAACAUAAUUCAAUUUCAUAUUGAAUAUUUCAAUUUUUAUUCAAUAUUUUCCUAAAUUCCAAUUUAAUCCCUAAACCGAGACUAAUUUUUAUUCUUCACAAUUAAUUCUAUAUUUUCAUAAAAUUUCCACUUUAAACUAAAUUUAACUCCCUAUUUUCACUUAAAUCCUUAAAUUUCAAAAUUUUCACAAUUUAGUCUCUAUAACUCAAAAUUUACAAUUCAUUCUACAAUUUAAUCCUUUUUCAUUUCUAACUUAAAAAUCUAUCCAUUUAAUCCCUAAUACUAAAAUUAUUCAACAUUAACAAUAUUUAAAAUCUCAAUAAUUGCUAAAAUUUCGACAUGAGUCGGGUAGUACUUAACACUGGGAUUUCAAAAACAUAAAAAUUACAAGAAAAUGGGACUAAAUUGACUAACCAAUUGAACUUGGAACUUUGAAACCCCUAAGUCGUAGGUUCUUCUUUCUUUCUCUUUUUCUUUUUCUUUCUUUCUCAUUCAUUUUGCUUUUGUCUUUCUUCAUUUAUUUUACUUAUUUGUUUCAUUAUAUUCACUUUAUUAUUAUAUUAUAUAUAUUUGCUUAAAUAUUAAGUAAAACAUAUUAUAAUAUAUAUUUUAACUUUAAUUUUUUAAUAAUAUACAUAAUAAUUUUACCUUAUGCUGCCUCACUAAAGAAGCAAUGAUAUAAUUUCUUCUUUAGUCCCUUUAAUUUUUCUUUAAUUUAUAAUUCAACUUUCACCCUAUAUGAAAUUUAGUCCUUAUACCUAAUUACUUUUAAUUCAUGCAAAUUCACUUAACCAAAACCUAAUUAACUACACAACUAGCUUCAUAAAUAUUUUUAAUAAAUAUUUUUGAGUCCGAUUUACGGGAACGGAGUUUCAAAAAUGCACUUUCUGACACCCCUGACUAUCGGGUCGUUACAGUUAGGACGACGAAUGGAGGAACGAGAAGAGGAAUAGGGAAAAAGGAAAAUGGAAUUCCAUUAAGAUACCGCUAUACGGUGUUACUGUGUGUAAGUCAUGAUGUGCGAAGCUUCAGGCCUUGCAGGGGACAUUUCAAUAUUCAAACAUCAAGCUUAAAUAUGAUAUGAAUCGAUAUCGACAUUUAUUAGGUUCCGUAAAGCAACAUCACGACCACAGCCAAUAGACUCUAUGAUGCGACAUCACGACGGCGAUAAGGUCUUAUGGGGCAACACCUCUAAAGAGGUCUAAUGUGUAAGACCAUAUCUCGACCAGUAUGGUCCUUGGGGACAAUAAACACGGGAUAGUCCGCUAGGAUAGUGAACACGAUGUCAUAGAUAGAGUGUGUAAGAUCAUGGCUUGACUAUGGCAAUAUAGAGAUAGCCCGUCAGGACAUUUAGAACGAGGUAGUCUACCAUGACAUUAAAUAUAGAGAAUAUGGCGUAAGACCAUAGCUCGAUUAUUAUAACAUAGAGAGUUCAUAAGGACAUCAGAUAUGGGAUAGUCCACCAGAACGAUAAAAGUAAGAAGUUUCCUAGGACAGUGAAUAAGGAAAUUCAUGUAAACAAGGAAAAUUACAAGUAUUGGCAGUCAAUAGCCAACUAGCAGAUUUGAGAAAACCGCUAAAAUGGAACAAAGGUAAUAGAAAUGGGAAAAGAUUGCCCCUUUGAUAAACAAGAGGAACAAUAAGGCGUAUGGCAACGACCGAGUUAAGAACUAUUAGGGGAAAGAUGUACCGUUAAUAAUUCAUGGAAAGACAAUGAAAGGGGAUCUAUCCGUAGGUUACGGUUAAGGAUCUGCCAUUAAGAACCUCCAUGAAGCCCUGCAUGCUAGUGAAAAUCCUUAAGAGGUUAUUGGGAAAUUCACUCUCGACAUAAACCUUGUCGAACUUAUAGUCUGAGCGGGGAAGAUUAAUCGUCUACUCUCUGGAUCAAUGAAUUGGUAAAAAGGGGUUAGUUAGAACCCAUCGGUAGGAGGAGACGCUAAAAAGGUUAGUCCAAGUAACAAUUACGUUUGUCAAGACUAUUCUUUUUUUAAGAAAGUCUAUUGUGAGUAUACCUGUUAAGGAGUAGUUUCAUGGGGAAAAUGUCAUACAAUAGGGAUUGGUAACUAGAGUGGUAAACCAAAUAUCAGUCUACUAGAAACUAUAAGUCCAAAUUGUCCAGUUGCAAACAGAUAUAUUACAUACUAAAACCAAUAUGUUGCAAAUAGGGCAGGUUACGAAGAAGUAAUCUGAAACAACUUUUCAACCCGAAUGUAGCGUGAAAUGAUAUUUAGUCUGCCAGAGUGGCAGAGGACCUCAUUAGUUAUCUCGACAGAUAGAGUGUUGGCAAGUCCUUCGGGACUCUGGUAAGUAAGGGGGACCGCCAUGGAUUAAAUAGAUUUGAAUAAUCACCUAGGAGGGAGCUACCUAAGGGCCAUUAGGAGGGUAGGCCGAAUGACUACCUUAUACGUACAUAGUGGAAAGAAGAAUCCACAUUGAGGUAUGAAUGAAAGAAAGAAUACAAAUACAGGAAGGGCAGAGUCCGUAGAUAUGACGAGUCAUCUAAGGAACCAUUGAAAUUAGUUAAAAGGUGACAGGAUGGUUUAUAGAAAGAUUGUUUAACAAUCUAAUCACAAUAGAUAAGUUCAAAAAACAAAUCAGAGACCGUCAGGUCAAGUUGAGAGAAGUUACCUAAAAAAUAAGUACGGAGUUAAUUGUAUUUAGUUUCCUUUCUUUUACUACCCCUACAAGGCAUGGUCUAUUUGUGAGAAAUCUAGUAAGAAACUCACAAAAUGCUUUUGGAACUUAUAGAAUUUUAACAUAUAGUUGUAGGAAUUCGCGGGAUAAGGAAUUCAAUGAGGGAUUAAGCCAGACUGUAUUAGAUCAAGGAUCUACGUCAGAAAGGUGUCAUGCACAUUAGAAAAAUGUGGUGCCUUCAAAGGUUUCACCUCAGGGUCAAAUUAUUGUAGUCGAAUAGUUCCCUUAGAGUUGAGAUUGGAGAUAGUAAACUUUUAUUUUGAAUUCGUUGUAUCUAUUGUAAGAAUUUUUAUUAACAAGUAAUACAGUUUGUUUUCAAUAUAGUGAGUUUAAAAUUUGUUGAUCAAAUUAGGUUCAUUUGUAGCACCAUAUACCCAGAUCCAGUGAUUGGGUUGUGUGAGGGUGUUACAACAUCAAGUGUGCCUUUAAUACAACCAAGUUUACAACCCUAAGGUUUAAAAAAAUGUCUUUAAAGUGCAUAAGUUGACUUGAGUUGGUGUUGGAAACAAAAUUGCCUCUGCAGUAUUUUUCACCCUGUUAAGCUUCAGUGUUGCGACAGACAAGCUUCGAUGUCACGACGUCUUCGAAAGUAGGCACAAUUUUGGCUUUGGAGUUCUCGAUGUCGUGACACAAAUUAGAUGGUGUCACAACAUCCUCAAUAGUAGCCUUGGUUCCUUCACUUCAACCAUCAACUGUAGAGUCACAACUUUAAAGGCUUAGAGUCGAGAUCGAGGCUCGAUUUCAUGACACAACACACUUGGUGUCACGACAUCCUUGAAAGACUGCUCCAGGUUGGUUUCUCGUUGAAGUUUUACUCCUCUGAGGUAAUGAAGGAUUAGUGUUGCGACAUCCUUUCAUUAGUGUCACAACACCCAAAGUAGUUGAUAUUUUCCUCAAGGUUUGGUCAUAGCCAUUUCCUUACACACACUCAAAUUAACCAUUAAAGUCCUAACAGCAUAGUUUUGCCAAUUUGGGUCUCAAAAGGAUUAAAAGGACAGAAAACUAUCAUUAACACUAAAAAGUAUAAGCGAACAAAAAGCAUUAAAAAGACUCGUCAAUUACUUGAGAACAAACUCAUCAAGUGUUCGCAAGAGCCUAAUUUGAUAUAUCAUAUUACGAUAAAUCAAUUUCUUAAUCUAUUUCUAUUUUGAAAGUAUUUUAGAAUAAUAAAUAUUUUCAUGAGUUAAUUUUGACCUAUAUUUUCUUGAGUUUUAUAUGUUUUUUUUUGUUUGUUUUCCAUUUCUUAUUAAGUAUUUUUCACUUUUAGAAGUUUUCGUCCACUCUUGUAGCACUUUUUUAGUCUUGCUUAUGAAUGUAGUCUCACUUUAUAAGUGAAUUUAGGGAGUAAGUGAAUUUAGGGAUGGUUUUUUCGUCGUCCUCUCUAGUUUAGUGGAUGCUCGAUUCUUUUGCUGAUUUUGCCCACCUGUCGUUUUGGACCAUCCAGGGCUAGUUUUCUUAUUAUGAUAGUUGCUUGCAAUCACUCUAGAUAUGUCAUGCUUGAGUUAUGGCAAAGCCGAUUGUUAACAUGUUGUAAUAUUCUACUAAUGUUGUGUUUGAAGUCUUUAUCGUGUUGAUAAAGCUUGUCCUUCAUUAUCGAUGAUGGGUAUUAAUUGUUUUUUUUUCUUGAUUUGUAUGUUAGUAGUUUGCAAUGUUAAUAGUCUCACAUUGCUAACAAAUUUAAGUAUAAAUUAUUUAAAUAUACAAUUCUUUGUAACCUGGAUAAUUGACUUAAGUGCCUAGCCCAUUGGAAAAGUGGACGAGUUUACCUAUUGGGCUUUAUAUAAAUAUUUUAAAGGUAAAAAUAUGUGCAUUUCGGACUCUUGGGAUUUAAUUGUUGGUGCAAAUAAUUUGUAUAUAUAUAAUUAUUAUUUUUUAUUGUCUGAAAUAAAUUAUAAUUAUUAUUUAUUUGCAUUUGAACAAUCUUAUUCAAAUAGACAUAAUUUCAAAAAAAAAAAGAAUCUUAAUGAAAAGCACGAUUUUUCUAAAAAGUUACAAUGUUACAGAAAAAUGUAACUUACACCAUAAGUUUUGUAGUAAGUGUCUAUAUAUAAAACUCAAAAAUAUCAUUUUCACUAUUCUAUUUUUGUUGUUGUAUUCUAGAGGCAAAAUUAAUAGUCUAUUUAUUUUCUUUUAAUUUUCUUUUCUUGCACCAUAAAUUUCUUUCUUGUACUAAAUUUUUUUUUAAUAUUGUAUGGUUGUAUUUAUGAAAUGAAUUAAUAAAUUUUUUCUUUAAAAAAUAAUUAUGUAUAAGCAUGUGAUAAAUUUGACAGUAACAAAGUAUAUGUAAUGCAACAAAUUACGCACUCAAAAAUAAAUAUAUAAAAUUCAUAAAUAAUAAGGUAAAUGUACGUUUUGAUAUUUGAACUUAGUUUUAGAGUUCAAAUUGGUACCUAAAAUUUUUAUUGGUAAAUGUAUGUCAAUUUGCUUUUAAGGUUCAAUUUAAUAGCUAAAAUUUAUUUUGGUCCAAAUAGGUAUGUGAACUUGGCUUCUCGGUUAAAAUUGGUACAUGAAUUUAGCUUUUUUUUUCAAAUCAGUACUUAAUUAUAUGGACCAAUUUGAACUAUAAAGCCAAGUUUAAAUGCCUAAUUAAACAAAAAAAAGUUUAAGUAUUAAAUUAAACAUUUAAAUGAAGUUUAGGUACCUAAAUAAAUAAUCUUAAAUACCAAUUUAAAUCUUGAAACUAAAUAAAAUAAAAUUUAUUAACAUAUUAUUAAGAAUAAAAUUAUUUGAGCCAUAACAAUUCAAGGAAAUCUCAAAGAAUCCUUGAGAAAUAAAAUAAAUGAAUCUUCUAUUUUUGCAAUUUUUAAAAAUUAUAUUCAUGAAAUUUAGAUAAGUUUUCCGUACUCCAUUGAUCUUUAGUAAACUUUUAAAAUGAAAUAAUUUUUUACUUAAAAAAUUAUUUAAGCAUACAACACUAAGAAUCUUUAGAAAAUUCCUAAAGUGCAGUCUGAAAAAUCCUUUAGUCCGACCUCCACCUCACGGAUCUUGAGAAUUUUUUUUUUUAAAUGAAAUAGAAUUUACAUUCUGAAUAUUUUUUAAUCCACAACACCCCAUGAAUUUUUAGAAAUUUUUUAACAAAUCACUUGGUUGGCACCUUGUAAAUCUUUUUAAAAACCGAAAUAAAAUUAUUUUUCGGAAAAUAAAAAAAUCAAUUUUAUAUUCCAUGUUUGGGCAAUAGACAUAUACACCACUCAAUCACAUACUAUUAGCUACAAUUUGAUAGUAAAAACAAGAAAAAGAAAAUCUCAAAUUUUAUACAACCAACACAAACUGCUGUAAAACUCCACAAUUGUUAAGAGCAAUCCAUUGUGGGAUUCACGCAAAUUGAAAUAAAUCCGCAUAUACUAGAGUUUGUUUCCUUUUUUCAUGAUGAUGUUGCAGAUGAGGGAGAAACAGUGAAGGGUUCUUGUUCUUCACAGGUGAGCAUAUCAUGAGGACCAGCUUCUUCUCGGCCAACUCCCAAAAGGUCAAGGUAAUAAAGGUAAUGAGAGAUCAUAUUGUUCAUGGAAUCACUAUCACCUUGACCACAAACUUGGUCACCAUAAAGAACAUUCAUGGUGGUUCCAAAACCUGGAACCCUCUUGGCCAAGGUGUCGUUCUUGGUUGGUUUCCAGUUGCCAACGAAAACGUCAUGGGCUGAGGGUUGGUGUUUCUUCAUCGGCGUCAUCCACCUCCACAUUGCUGUCUGGAAAGCCAAGGUUGCGUUGUCUUCUAAGUAUUCUGGGUGGUUCAACAAGUCCACCUUCAAAGCCUCUCCAGUUUCCCCAUAGUUGUAGUUCCAGUAGAUAGGCAAGGCACCACGGCCAUGAUAUGAGACUCCUGGUGUGCAAGGAUAGGUGUAUUUAUAGUAAUCAUCGCAAUAUAUUUUGCUAGGGCUCAUUUCUUUGUUGUAGCAAAGACCCCAAGCCAAUGGUCCCCCGGUAGCGACUCCAUAGCCACCUGAAAUUAUUAUAAACCAGAGCCAUUGUUCAAGAAUAACAAACAGUUAGAUAAGCCACAUUCGUUUACAUUGCUCUUGGAUGAUCAAAAGUAAUAUUAAACACUUUUAACUAAGCACAUAUUUACUUACAUGAAGUUUUGCUGCCGACAUGUCCAAGAAAAGCAGCGACUUCCUUCAUAUUCUGGAGCUUUUCCCCGGUGGUACAAAAUCCAUGAGGCUGAUACUGAGCAGCAGCAGUAAUGAAGGAAUGGUAAUCCCAGAACCCAACCGCAUGUGCUACCGGCGUGUUACGCUUCGCAAAAAGGUCCUCAAACUGGUAAGUUUGGAAGUAAUCAGAAAUGGUAUGGUUGCAACAAUACUUUGACCACCCUUUACAUUCCCACCCUUUGUCACACAG
rnacentral:lncRNA from 1 species